rnacentral:rRNA from 1 species
AGUGAACGCUGGCGGCGUGCUUAACACAUGCAAGUCGAACGAGUAAGUGCUGUAGCAAUACAGAUUACUGCUAGUGGCAGACGGGUGAGUAAUACAUGGGAAUCUUCCUUGAAGUCUGGAAUAACUGUUGGAAACGACAGCUAAUACCGGAUGAUACCUUAGGGUCAAAGAUUUAUCGCUUCGAGAUGAGCCCAUGCAAGAUUAGCUAGUUGGUAGGGUAAUGGCCUACCAAGGCGAUGAUCUUUAGCUGGUCUGAGAGGAUGAUCAGCCACACUGGAACUGAGACACGGUCCAGACUCCUACGGGAGGCAGCAGUGGGGAAUAUUGGACAAUGGGCGAAAGCCUGAUCCAGCGACGCCGCGUGAGUGAUGAAGGC